rnacentral:lncRNA from 1 species
CAUCGUGAGGCAUUUCAACUCCUCAGAACAGAGCCAGGUCAGGGAAAGGCCGCCAGUUCUCAUUAAAGAUCCUGAGACCUGGCGGCAGGAGGGACCCUAUGACUUAGUCACCUGGGGACGGGGAUACGCUUGCGUAUCCACGCCCUCAGGCCUGAGAUGGGUCCCUUCCAAGUUCGUCCGGCCGUAUGUCCCCAAGGUCCAGAAACGCGAGCCAGAUGGUCCUCAGGUUGGGCACGCCGCCCUCCGACGGCGAAGGAGGUCCCUCUCACCCGGUCCCCAAUUCCCUUUGCCCAAUUCCUCCUCUCCUUCCCGUGGCUCCUGGGAAUCUCUGUUCCUUUCCCACCUAAACCUCCCCGAUUUCGAGUAUUAAUUUAUAUUUCAGUUACUCCCCAGACACGCACUCCUCCGUGAAACCGCCCGGAAUGAUGUCAUCUCUGAGCCUUGUCCUUCUCGGCCUUACCAUCGCCUUGAAACCCCUGCAAGCCUGGAUCGUACCACAGCCGCCAGCAAAUGUUUGGACCACCCUUGCCAAAUCCCUUAAUCAAGACCAUUUAUGUUUGUCGACCACUUCCGCUGCCAAUCCCUUUCUGUCCUGUCUCGUGGGGAUCCCAUACCCUAUAGUUAAGUUUCCCUUCACCCUUCCCUUAAACACCUCCGCCCUCCGCAUAAAAAAUGACACCAAUCCCUUCAUCUCCCAACCCCUAGAACCACCAGAUGCGUGGAGGGCGUGGGUCAGAACCUUCCCGGUUAUGGCAAAAGAGCCCGAAGAACUCGAACUACUCGGCUCUUCCCUUGCCUUUACCUGCUUCCGUUUCCUUGAUUAUAACCCAUAUGUCCAUCCCAAAAGAAUAAUCAAACAAACAAUCACAGAAUACCAAGACAAAAAUUGGUGCAAAAAAGUAAUCUAUAUCUCAGACUUUUCAACCCCUGAUAACAAGCCCCAUUCCCUUCCUAAAGGUGUGUUUUUAAUUUGUGGAAAUCGGGCUUGGGCAGGCAUCCCCCCUCACCUAGUCGGAGGGCCAUGCGCAUUCGGACAGUUGAGCUUGUUUACUCCCAAUAAAACCCACAUUGCGCAUUGGAAACAACUAAAUCAAACAGGUCAAUUGGCUCGCCAAAAAAGAGAUACUGGGCUCACUGAUUGGGACGAGAACUGUAACGAUGAAGUCACCCAUUGGGCAAAAGCAAAGAGCGUUGCUACCAUUGCAUUUUUACCAUGGAUAGGAAUCGCUCAAGCAUUCAAUGAAUUGGCCGGUCUUGAAUGCUGGGUAGCUAAACAAGCCAACCUUACAUCAACUGCCCUAAGCAACCUCCUAACAGAUGAGGAAGUCACGAGACAGGCAACCCUUCAAAACCGAGCCGCAAUCGAUUUUCUUUUGUUAUUACAUAAUCAUAAAUGUGAAGAAUUUGCUGGCCUGUGUUGUAUGAACUUGAGUUCCAGAGCCGAAGAUGUCCGCACCUCCAUCACUAAAAUGCAGGACAUGAUCCAUCAUCUAAAGAAGGAAACUGCAGGAUGGCUGGACUCUCUUCUAGAAGGAUGGGGACUUUCCGGGUGGAUCAAAUCUAUCAUGCAGACUGGAUUAAUGCUGCUGUUGGGACUCGUCGCCCUUGCCAUCGGCUUUAAUGUAAUUAAAAGACUAUUAAUGAAAGCCAUCAACACUACGAUCAGUAUUAAUCACGCUACACUGGCCGAACCAUAUGAACUUGAUCCCCUCAACGCUGCAGAGCCAAAAGAAGAAAAUCCCCCCGACGGGGAAAGCAUAUGGUUCGAAGACGAGCCCGCGAACUGUGAAACCCCCAUUUAAAGACUUAUUUUUACUCUCCUCCCGUUCUUUUCUUUUUAAACAAAAAAGGGGGAGAUGUGGUGGUGUGUUUUCUUUAUAUUUUAUGUACGGUUCUUUAUGAUU